rnacentral:lncRNA from 10 species
GUUUUAUUGAUGUAUGUGUGAUCAAAUGGUUUCGGAAGUCAUGGUCUAGGUGUAAGAUGAUGGUGACUUGGAUUUGUUGGUAGUAAUAGAAAAGGAGAGAAGCAGAUGCAUUGGGGAUAAGGUUUGAAGGUAAAAUUAACAAGAUUUGUUGAUGGGAUGUGCCACACACAGUGUGGGAGCCGUGAGCACACAUAUGGCUUAGAUGUGGCCCAGCUCUCAGAAAGCCUUGCAGCCUUGUGGUGUUUUCUUGCCUGAAGACUGAGGACGUAGCAGUUCUCAAGUUUUGUUUACUUUCACAUUCAUGAUGACUCACAGUUUCCCCAGGGAAAAUGAUUUUUUCUUCACUUCACAGCCACCUCUUUGCACACUUCUAGGGGCCACCAUUUUGCAUUACAUUGUCUGGAAUUGUCCAGACAAACAGUUCAGAGUGAUAUCCUGAAAAGGUGCUAUGUAUGUGUCUGUGUGUGGGCAUGCAUGUGUGUCUGUCUUCAAGAGUCUUUUCUAGUAAAGCGACUCUGCCUUAGGGUUGUAUUCUUUUUCGUUGUUUUCUGGAGGUGGGGGGGUUCUUUAUCUGAGAUUCCACAAACAAAGGAAUAGUUGGAGAUUAACCAUCUCACUGCACGACUAACAGCUCAGGUCUCAAGGAUGAGUAGCAGAUUUCUCCUGAGACUUGGAGCCACAAACGGAAGCUCUCAUUUGUUUUUACUAAAUAUGAUUAUAAUAGAAUGUAACCCAACUAUGGUGAUAUAGUUUGGGUGUGUGUUACAAAUCUCAUGUUGAGGUGUAAUCCUCAAUAUUGGAAGUGGGGCCUUGUGGGAGAUGAUUGAAUUAUGGGAGUGGUUUCUCAUCAAUGGUUUAGCAUCAACCUUGGUGCUGUCCUUGCAAUAGUAAGUGACUUCUUGUGUGAUGUGGCUGUUUAUAAGUGUGUGGUACCUCCCCCCUCUAUCUCUUCCUCCUGCUCUGGCCAUGUGAAGUGCUGGCUCCUCCUUCGCCUUCCGCCAUGAUUGUAAAUUUCCUGAGGCCACCCCAGAAGCUAAGCAGAUGCAUCAUGCUUCUUGUACAGCCUGCAGAGCCAUGAUUCAAUUAAACCUCUUUUAUUUAUUUAUUUUACUUUAUUUUUGAGAUGUAGUCUUGCUCUGUCACCCUGGCUGGAGUGCAGUGGCACAACCUUGGCUCACUGCAACCUCCACCACCUGGGUUUAAGCAAUUCUCCUGCCUCAGCCUCCCAAGUAGCUGGGAUUACAGGUCACGCCCAGUUAAUUUUUUGUAUUUUUAGUAGGGACAGGGUUUCACCAUGUUGGCCAGGCUGGUCGCAAACUCCUGACCUUGUGAUCCACUUGCCUUGGCCUCCCAAAGUGCUGGGAUUACAGGCGUGAGCCACUGUGCCCGGCUCUUUUCUUUAUAAAUUACCUAGUCUCAGGUGUUUCUUUAUAGCAAUGUGAGAAUGAACUAAUACAUGUGGUGAUUUCUACAUAUAAUCUGUUUUUGUCUUUGCCAGGCUUUAUGCCUACCCCCUUUGUUCUUAUUCUCCUGACACACUACAAAAAAACCCACUCACACCAAAGGCAUUAGUGAGCACUAUUAAACUUAUUGAAAAUGUUGACUUCAGAAGGUGUCUGUUUUUUCCUGAGUUCACUCUCACUGGCCAUCCAGAGGCUCUUUUCCUCACCCAGUCCUGAAACCAACUUCACUUCUCUCAGCUUUCUUUUUCAUUGCAAAUUGCUGCCUCCUUUGGGGGACACCCUGCUAUGGGCUCUUGAAAUUAUCUUCUAGACAAACCUGAUCCCUCAUUGAGAUGGAAUUCAUGCACCAACUUCUACAAAGACAACACUUCCUCUAUGUUAUCACGAUACAAUUACAGUGAUCACCACGUGUGAACAAUCAUAAUAUUACCAUGAUUAAAAAGAUUUUUGAGUUCCGUAUGACUGACCAACAAGUGCAGUUUUGGAAUAUGAUUUGUACUUACGUUAGAGACCAUCUUUUAUCUAUGAAAAUUAUCUACUAAAAUUUUUCUAAGAAACAAAAAACUGGGUGUGAGGGCGAUCUGGCUGUGACAUCUGUCACCCCAUCGAUCGCUAGAGUUGAUUCUGCUGAUCUGGCUGGCUAGGCGGGUGUCCCCUUCCUCUGUUACCACUCCACCUGCGUCCCUCCCGAAGCUGCGUGCUCAGUCAAAGAGGAUGACCAUCCCUGAUAGAGGAGGACUGGUCUUUGGUCAAGGGCAUAUGAGUAGCUGCGCUCCCCUGCUAGAACCUCCAAACAAGCUCUCAAGAAACAAAAAACCUAUUUCUGAUUAUGUCAGAGUGUUUUAGCUUUUCAGGGAAAAGUGAAUACUCAAUAAACAGAUAAAGUAGGCUAUGUCGUUAUUAUUUUUAUUCUAGGAAGGAGACUCACAUUCUAUUAGGUUAGAUAUUAGGUUAGAACAUUUUUUUUUUUUUGAGACAGAAUCUCACUCUUUUUGCCCAGGCUGGAGUGCAAUGGUGCCAUCUUGGCUCACCACAACCUCCGCCUCCCAGAUUCAAGUGAUUCUCCUGCCUCAGCCUCCUGAGUAGCUGGGACUAUAGGCAUAUGCCACCACGCCAGGCUAAUUUUGUAUUUUUAGUAGAGAUGGGGUUUCUCCAUGUUAGUCAGGCUGGUCUCGAACUCCU